AAAAAGAUAAACUCUAGUUUCCGUUUCCAACGUUUGACCGUCCGUCUUAUUUGAAAAAAUUAUAAAAAAAAUUAAAAAGACAAGUCACGCAUAAAGUACUAAUUAUGUUUUAUCAUCUAACAACAAUGAAAAUACUAAUUAUAAAAAAAUUUAUAUAAGACGGAUAGUUAAACGUUGGACACGGAAAACUAGGGUUUGUCUUUUU
rnacentral:pre_miRNA from 1 species